AGCAGCCGCGGUAAUUCCAGCUCCAAUAGCGUAUAUUAAAGUUGUUGCAGUUAAAAAGCUCGUAGUUGAAUUUCGGGAUCAAAGGAUCGGUCAUGCCUUGGUAUGUACUGGUUUUAUUGGUUCUCACCUUCUAAAGAACCAUAAUGUCAUUCAUUUGAUGUUAUGGGGAAUUAGGACUGUUACCUUGAAAAAAUUAGAGUGUUUAAAGCAGGCUUACGCUUGAAUACAUUAGCAUGGAAUAAUGAAAUAGGACAUCAGAUUCUAUUUUGUUGGUUUCUAGGAUCGAUGUAAUGAUUAAUAGGGAUAGUUGGGGGCAUUAGUAUUCAAUUGUCAGAGGUGAAAUUCUUGGAUUUAUUGAAGACUAACUACUGCGAAAGCAUUUGCCAAGGAUGUUUUCAUUAAUCAAGAACGAAAGUUAGGGGAUCGAAGACGAUCAGAUACCGUCGUAGUCUUAACCAUAAACUAUGCCGACUAGGGAUCGGAUGAUGUUAAUUUUAUAAUGACUCAUUCGGA
rnacentral:rRNA from 1 species